UCUGCAAUAUUGAGAAAAUGCUAGGGUUAAUGUCUCUUAUGUGUUUGAGAAAGAUACACCUGCAACAAAUUGAGCAUUCAGUUUUAGUGACAGUAGGAUAACUGAAACUCACAUAAGAAGAAUCUCAUGAGAUCUGCCCUAAGUCAAAAGACGAUGAUGUUACAUAAGAAGCAAAUUCACACAUACAGACGCAACAUAAAACAGAAAAAAAAAAUCAAAAUAGCGUGUCUAAGACAUAAGAAACCACUGAAACUCACAAGGAGAAGAUGAUGCUUUUACAUCUAAAAGUUUGAAACUUCAGGAUUGUUCAAACUGCGAGUAGGAAGUUUGAGACUGAUGUUCAUGGGAUGAAAACUGACCCUUUUAUAGGUGGAGAUCCACCGCCUCUAAGAGGCAUUGAAUGAGGUAAGGGAGUUAAGAAGGUUGUGUUAAAGGUGAAUGGUUAAUGCAUCCCGUAACGUUUCAGAGGAGAUGAAUUGCAGACAAACCGACAGGAACAGAGCUCGACCCAGAGAUUGGAACCAAGAUUCGUCUUACACAACUUUCCAGAAACUCUUCAUCAGUUUAUCAGAGCAGAGGAUAAUGAACACGACAAACC
rnacentral:lncRNA from 1 species